GACGAACGCUGGCGGCGUGCCUAAUACAUGCAAGUAGAACGCUGAAGAGAGGAGCUUGCUCUUCUUGGAUGAGUUGCGAACGGGUGAGUAACGCGUAGGUAACCUGCCUUGUAGCGGAGGAUAACUAUUGGAAACGAUAGCUAAUACCGCAUAACAAUAGGUGACACAUGUCAUUUAUUUGAAAGGGGCAAUUGCUCCACUACAAGAUGGACCUGCGUUGUAUUAGCUAGUAGGUGAGGUAACGGCUCACCUAGGCGACGAUACAUAGCCGACCUGAGAGGGUGAUCGGCCACACUGGGACUGAGACACGGCCCAGACUCCUACGGGAGGCAGCAGUAGGGAAUCUUCGGCAAUGGGGGCAACCCUGACCGAGCAACGCCGCGUGAGUGAAGAAGGUUUUCGGAUCGUAAAGCUCUGUUGUAAGUCAAGAACGGGUGUGAGAGUGGAAAGUUCACACUGUGACGGUAGCUUACCAGAAAGGGACGGCUAACUACGUGCCAGCAGCCGCGGUAAUACGUAGGUCCCGAGCGUUGUCCGGAUUUAUUGGGCGUAAAGCGAGCGCAGCGGUUUGAUAAGUCUGAAGUUAAAGGCUGUGGCUCAACCAUAGUUCGCUUUGGAAACUGUCAAACUUGAGUGCAGAAGGGGAGAGUGGAAUUCCAUGUGUAGCGGUGAAAUGCGUAGAUAUAUGGAGGAACACCGGUGGCGAAAGCGGCUCUCUGGUCUGUAACUGACGCUGAGGCUCGAAAGCGUGGGGAGCGAACAGGAUUAGAUACCCUGGUAGUCCACGCCGUAAACGAUGAGUGCUAGGUGUUGGAUCCUUUCCGGGAUUCAGUGCCGCAGCUAACGCAUUAAGCACUCCGCCUGGGGAGUACGACCGCAAGGUUGAAACUCAAAGGAAUUGACGGGGGCCCGCACAAGCGGUGGAGCAUGUGGUUUAAUUCGAAGCAACGCGAAGAACCUUACCAGGUCUUGACAUCCCGAUGCUAUUUCUAGAGAUAGAAAGUUACUUCGGUACAUCGGUGACAGGUGGUGCAUGGUUGUCGUCAGCUCGUGUCGUGAGAUGUUGGGUUAAGUCCCGCAACGAGCGCAACCCCUAUUGUUAGUUGCCAUCAUUCAGUUGGGCACUCUAGCGAGACUGCCGGUAAUAAACCGGAGGAAGGUGGGGAUGACGUCAAAUCAUCAUGCCCCUUAUGACCUGGGCUACACACGUGCUACAAUGGUUGGUACAACGAGUUGCGAGUCGGUGACGGCAAGCUAAUCUCUUAAAGCCAAUCUCAGUUCGGAUUGUAGGCUGCAACUCGCCUACAUGAAGUCGGAAUCGCUAGUAAUCGCGGAUCAGCACGCCGCGGUGAAUACGUUCCCGGGCCU
rnacentral:rRNA from 1 species